GAUUCCAGCACCUGUAACCUCACCACAGACCCGUUCAACACCCAAAACUCUUCAGCCUAAGCCUGAAAAACUGUGGAACGGUCAUUCACACAACAUUGUAGCUAAGCCUAACGAAAACGGGGUCACAACCGAUGAAAUAGAAAAGGUCUCGUUAUCUUACGUCAUUCAGCUUACGUCAUCAACAACUCACUCCGUUGUUUCCGAAAAAAGUACACUUCCCGACUCGGCGUCGUCUGUCUCAUCUCCGCAGGUCCUCUCAGUGUUCCUGGUUAUUGUUACUUGGUUACGCCAUUAAACAGUGUUUGUCAAGAACUUGGAACUCAGAAAGCUGAGAAAAGCACUUUUCAGACAGUGCCGACGAAGGAAGAGCUACGAGUAGGAGCCUGUCAUUGUUAUUUGAAAGUGUUGAUUGACAGACAAGAAAAAUUAGAAAAGCUUACUUCUGGUAUGUGCCAAAGUUAACAAAGAAGACAAGCUACUACCGCGACAUCUGGUGUUGCUCAAACUGGACUCGUAUUAAAAUAGCUUAAAACAAAAUUUAAUCAUCUGAGUUUUUCAUUUUCUAAAGUUUCUUUCUAUUCAGUCCUAACGUUCUUUGAUAGACUUGUAUCGACUAGGAACUAACAAAUAUACGCUUCGAAUACAGUCUGGUUUUUGAGACGUAACUGAGAUGUCGUCCUGAAUGUAUGUGUCAGAAGAACAAGUUCUAAUAAUUCUUUAAUCACUUCUUGGAUGUCGAUUUAAGGGACUGUCUUAAUCUCGAAACAUUAUCUCACGUUACGUUUGAUGUGCAAAAAUUAUUAUAUGUCAACUAUUCUUCUGAAAUUUCUAAUGGAGCUUUCUAGGAUUGUCCUCUAAGUUAUUCAUUAUCACGUGCUUCAAAAAUCUCUAAACCAACAGGAAUAAAAAACACCAUUUAACAGAAAGAAUCUCGUGCUGUUAGUAAUGUGUCAAUGAGAAACUUAAAGAACUUCAAGUAUCCAGACCACUAAUAUAUGGACAGUCCAUCCUGUAUCCCCUUACAAAUACGUAAUUCGCAAGUUUUCUUCUAGUAUCUUCAAUUAACUUUUUUUAUCCUCAACUUUGUGAAAGAAAAUAGUGAAACUUAUUGUAUUAUUGUAAGCCCCACUCCGUUCUUCGAUUCGCCAAUUUGCAUCGAAUCAAGCUUAGGUUCGAGGAUUUAAAUUCCUUCUUAGUAAUCCUGAACACUAGCAGAUGGAACAUAGUGACAAGCCUUAAUGGUUGUGAACUACACGUGUUUUAGAAUCAAUGUAGGUUAUUAAUAGUGAAUAUUGACAUAAAAAACUCCUGGUAUCUUUCAAGAGCAUCCUAUUGCUAAUCCUAGAAUUCCAAAACCAGCCAGCCACAGGAAAUAUCUUGUUUUUAAUCUUGGAAUUCUCUAACCUCCUGUCCAUAUGAAGUAUCCUAUUGCUAGCUUUGGAAUUCCCUAACCUGCCAUCCACAAGAAAUAUCCUACUUGUAACCUUGGAAUCCCGUAAACCAUCAAUUUGGUGUAUCCUAUUGUUAAUCUUGGAAUCCAUACAUCUGCCAUCCAUAUAAAGUAUCCUAUUUUUAACUUUGGAAUACAAUAACCUACUAUCCAUUUGAAGUAUCCUAUUGUAAACCAUCAAUUUGAUGUAUCCUAUUGUUAAUCUUGGAAUCCAUACAUCUGCCAUCCAUAUAAAGUAUCCUAUUGCUAACCUUGGAAUACCCUAACCUAUCAUCCAUAUGAAGUAUCCUAUUGCUAACCUUGGAAUACCCUAACCUAUCAUCCAUAUGAAGUAUCCUAUUGCUAACCUUGGAAUACCCUAACCUAUCAUCCAUAUGAAGUAUCCUAUUGCCAACCUUUUGAAAUCCCCAUCUUGAUCCAUUAAGUGAUUCAUUCUUUUUGAGUGAUUUGAAAUUCUCUCUCCUACGUAUCAUCAAGAAACUCAGUAAAGGUCAUUUUAGUAUAUUUGAAAUCGGUGUCAAACCAUCUAGACUACGUAAUCAAUAUUGUUUAUCCAAUUCUGAGAUUAUACUGCUCAUAAUCUUAAAUAAAUCUCUCACAAUAAUCCCGAGGAUCAAUAAGGCAAGACUCUCUAUUAUUAGCUUACAAUUUCGUUUUGGUUAUGUAAAUAUUUCUUUCUGUUCAAUUUUUACCAAACUUUAGAUUAAAAAAAAGGUUUGUGGAUCCAGUUUAUCUGCAAUUACCUUAUAUGUCCUUAUAAACUUCUAAUUUGUUUAAUCGUGACUGAAAGAAACCAUUCCUAAAUUUUUAUGUUUCGUAAAAAAGU
rnacentral:lncRNA from 1 species